rnacentral:rRNA from 1 species
GGCACAACCCUCUUUAGAUGUCAGCUUGUAUACUGCCGUUGAAAGCAUACCCUUAAAGGCAAAGUAUGCAACUAUGAUACAUACUCAUACACAUCAGGUCAAAGUGCAGCUAAUAAGAAGGUGAUGAUGGGUUACAACCUAUAAAAAGAAAUAGAAUAAAAACUAAAAAUUUUACAAAAGUGGACUUGACCGUAAUUUAUAGUACCCUAAAUAAAUGAUUAAACACAUAAGACAUGCACACAUCGCCCGUCACUCUACCCUAAAGGAUAGAUAAGUCGUAACAAAGUAGGUGUAAUGGAAAUUGUACCUGUCGAAGUAUAGCAUAUAAAAUGCCUUUUACUUACACUAAAAAUAAAGCUAAGGCUUGCUUCGCCCACAACAAAAAUCUUUUAACCAAAAACAAAUAAAAACAUUUAAUUCAAAAAUAUUAAUAGUACAGAAAUGGAACAAACAAUUUAAUAAAGUAGAGAUAAGACCCCGUACCUUGUGCAUCAUGGUUUUACAAGAAAAAUUUUAACAAAUUUAAUCCCGAACUCUUAAACGAGCUGACAGAACACUGUUAAGAACCAAUCAAUAACUGUGGAAAAAGUUUUGAGAGAUAUCCUGUCAGAGGCUACAUACCACCCGCGUAAGAGCAUAGCUGGUUCUCAAUAAACAUUAUAUAUUAAAACAUGCGGCAAAGUCGCAGUGCUAGACCAUGGGGGACAAGCCCCAUAAUAAAAGCAAUAAAAUAAUAUACACCAAUCACACAUAGGCCUAAAACCAGCCAAAAAAAUACUUUACCGUAAAGUAAAAUGAUAAAAUAAAUAAAUAUUAGAUGCGACAAUAAUUGAGAUAAAUAUAAAACAACAAAUAUUUUAUUUUAUGUAAAAAUAAGUAUUAAUAAAUUAAAAUGAAAUAACGAAGAUACAAUAAUAACAAUAUAUAAAUAUACAUCAACUAAGGAACUCGGCAAACAAAUAUUUCGACUGUUUAACAAAAACAUUGCUUUAUGAAUAAAAUAUAAAGU